GCCCUGGUGGUGGAAUUGGUAGACACAAGGGAUUUAAAAUCCCUCGGCGUUCGCGCUGUGCCGGUUCAAGUCCGGCCCGGGGGG
rnacentral:tRNA from 2 species